rnacentral:rRNA from 1 species
UACGUAGGGGGCAAGCGUUGUCCGGAAUCAUUGGGCGUAAAGCGCGUGUAGGCGGCCCGGUAAGUCCGCUGUGAAAGUCGGGGGCUCAACCCUCGAAUGCCGGUGGAUACUGUCGGGCUAGAGUGCGGAAGAGGCGAGUGGAAUUCCUGGUGUAGCGGUGAAAUGCGUAGAGAUGUGGAGGAACACCGAUGGCGAAGGCAGCCUCCUGGGCCAGCACUGGACGCUCAUGGCACGAAAGCGUGGGGAGCAAACAGG